rnacentral:rRNA from 1 species
ACUCCUACGGGAGGCAGCAGUAGGGAAUCUUCCACAAUGGGCGCAAGCCUGAUGGAGCAACACCGCGUGAGUGAAGAAGGGUUUCGGCUCGUAAAGCUCUGUUGUUAAAGAAGAACACGUAUGAGAGUAACUGUUCAUACGUUGACGGUAUUUAACCAGAAAGUCACGGCUAACUACGUGCCAGCAGCCGCGGUAAUACGUAGGUGGCAAGCGUUAUCCGGAUUUAUUGGGCGUAAAGAGAGUGCAGGCGGUUUUCUAAGUCUGAUGUGAAAGCCUUCGGCUUAACCGGAGAAGUGCAUCGGAAACUGGAUAACUUGAGUGCAGAAGAGGGUAGUGGAACUCCAUGUGUAGCGGUGGAAUGCGUAGAUAUAUGGAAGAACACCAGUGGCGAAGGCGGCUACCUGGUCUGCAACUGACGCUGAGACUCGAAAGCAUGGGUAGCGAACAGGAUUAGAUACCCUGGUAGGAUAGCA